rnacentral:lncRNA from 1 species
GGAAAUUAAAUAUUGUAAAAAGAAUAGCAAAGACACAUUAUCCUUACUGAGGGAAAAGCUCACCAUGAAGAGUCCUUUCUGUAUCAAAUCUAGCUUUCCAGAAUUUUCUUUUUUUUAACCCUGCUUGGUGAUGCUGGUGUUUUAGAAAAAUAGGUACAGGUGCUGCUCUGAAGCCCUGGCCACUCAGAGUAUUUUCCAGAUGCUGUCACAUGUUUGUCAAAGCUUGUCCAAAAAACUACAACACGUUUUAAAAAUGAUAAUUAGCUAAGAAAGGCAAAAGAACAAAGACCUUUUUUUAAUCUGAACUGGAAAGCAGUAUCAAUUUGGCUCUCAAACUAAAAUGCUUUUGGUGGCUCUUUAUAUAGAAGUUUUAAGCAAGGAUAUUAUCACAGAUGUUUCUCAUACUAUCUCUAAGUAUAUUUUACCAUAUUUGCUUCUAAUCCCUGCUGAAAGCUGAAAAACACUAUCAAAUGAUUGUUGUGCCACCUUUAUUUGGGGAGAAAUAACUGGUAGUAUGUUCUGGGUUCUACUUUGCUGUGUGGUCUUGGAAAAAUUUAAUCUCCAUGAGUCUGUUUGUUCAUCAUUAACAUGGGAAUAAUGAUAACCUACUUCAGAGCACUGUUGUGAGAAUUACCAGAAAUAAUAUGAGAAGCCCUUAGCACAGCACCAGGCCCAUGGUGAGUGGGCAGGUAAUGUCAGCUGCUAUUGCGCUAAUGAGAAGACACUGAAAAAUAAGUAGUUUCCAUACCCUUCUGGAAAACUAAACUAUCAAUUUUAAGUGAUACUUGCUUAGACUAAAAUGAAAUUAAAAGUGGAAAGCUUUCAGUAAAGAUAAAGAGAACAUUAUUAGAAUGUAAGCUGUACGAACAGAUUUAAUCCAGUUGCUCUUUGGAAAGUGUGAACCCUGGCCAGGUGCAGCUGGUGUGGGGUGUUGCAGGCCACCGCCACCCACAGGCUGAGUAAACACAGAAGGAGCCCAUAAAGCCUUGCCUAGAAGAUAGGUCCCCCUCAUAGCUGUUCUGCUUUACUCUUCUGUCUGUGCUUGCACAGAUCCACAUGCAUGUGCACAUACAUGUGCAGCUUGUGCUCAGACAGAAGUACUUCCUGACUUGAGCCAGCCACUCAAGCAGAAAAGUGGUGGAGAGAAGCAGAUGGAAUGACUUCCACUCCCUACUUCCCAGGAGGCAGGAGACAUGGGGCUCUGAAACCUCUUGCACAUCUUCCAGGCAAAACUAAUGUCAUUUGUUCAGCUGAUACUCACGGAGCCUCCUCUCUGUGCUUGUACUGUUCUAGGAGCAGCUAGAUGAAA